CACGUAGGGGACGAGCGUUGUCCGGAUUCAUUGGGCGUAAAGCGCGCGUAGGCGGCUCGGAAAGUCGGUCGUGAAAUGCCGGGGCUCAACCCCGGGACUGCGUCCGAUACUUCCGGGCUGGAGGUAGGUAGGGGAGAUCGGAAUUCCUGGUGUAGCGGUGAAAUGCGCAGAUAUCGGGAGGAACACCGGUGGCGAAGGCGGCGACCUGGGUAGAUACUGACGCUGAGGCGCGAAAGCGUGGGGAGCAAACAGG
rnacentral:rRNA from 1 species